UACGGGGGGAGCAAGCGUUGUUCGGAUUUACUGGGCGUAAAGGGCGCGUUAGGGCGGUCAGCACAAGUCAGUUGUGAAAUCUCCGGGACUUAACGUCGGAAACGGUCAACUGAUACUGUGCGACUAGAGUGCGGAGGGGCAACGGAUUCUCGGUGUAGCGGUGAAAUGACGUAGAUAUCGAGAGGAACACCUGCGGCGAAGGCGGGUUGCUGGGCCGACACUGACGCUGAGGAGCGAAAGCGUGGGUAGCAAACAGG
rnacentral:rRNA from 1 species